GUUGGUGGAAAUACUCAUCCAAGUCCUCGUCUCCAUUUUCAUCAUGAUCAAACUGGCAGAAGAAGGGAUUAUCGGGUCUCUUUCCCGCACGAACAUCUUCAAAGCUCAACAUGGAUCUCGAACCUAAACCAGAGACACCCAAAACAUUAUUCCACAUCCUUUUAUCAAUGGCCAAAACUUCACACACAAUUCAAUUCCCCAUUUCUUGAAUUCCUUAUUAAGGAAUCACUCCUUACACGGUUUGUGGAAAAACACAUAUAAGUCUGUCCAAAAAUAGUGAAUUUGGCUGGCCCUAUUACCCACAUUGGUUGCUUUAUGGCAAAUCAGAACCUUCAGAAAAGUUUCUUCUUGUUCUUCCCUUUUUAAAAUCAUCAUAUGUUCUCUGAGUCUAAAACUAUAAUUCAGAAACUUAAAAAGAAUUACAGUGGGACACAAGCACGAAACAAUCAGAGAAAUUGGCUGAUGCACUCCAAUUUCCCAUGUAACAGAGGGAAAAGAAAACACCUCACAAGUACAACAAAGAAGGGAAAAAACAAAAAUAAAGAUAACUGAACCUUACCCGUCAACGCUUUUCCCGGAAAUUUAUUUUUUUCCGGCAAAGCAAACAAAUCUAAAAGAGUAAAACUUUGCAAUAAAAGGAAAUGAAUUACAGAGAUGAAGCACAAAGAAGAAAGCAAGAGAACUUGAUUAUGAUCAAACACCCAAUUCAUGCAAGUGGAUCUGCAUACAAAGAGAGAUAAGAGAUAAGGAUAGAGUACCAAGAAAAGAAGGAGAAGAGGCAGAAAGGAAGAGAGCAUCAAGAGGCUGAGAAGAACAAGGGACCCUUUGGUUCUGAAGCAUCGCUGCGAGAUUGACCCUCCCACUCGCCAUACUUACAACUCUCCAGACUAAUUCUCAAGCUCCCAUAGCUUCCGAAUUCCGACGA
rnacentral:lncRNA from 1 species